GCACAGUUUCCAAAUUCCACCCCUGAUUAAAAAUCGUAUCUGCAAUGUUGUUAAAUUUGCACCUUUCGAUCCAAAUAUAAUUAUAACUGUUCAUAAUCCAGGCAAUCUUGAAACUGUUUACAAGUCAUCGUAUGUUUGUUUCUGGAAUAUUGAUGACCUUAAUAUCCCACA